UACGGGGGGGGCUAGCGUUAUUCGGAAUCAUUGGGCGUAAAGGGCGCGUAGGCGGCGCGGUAAGUCAAAGGUGAAAUCCCUCGGCUCAACUGAGGAACUGCCUUUGAAACUGCCGUGCUUGAGUCCGGGAGGGGGUAGCGGAAUUCCCAGUGUAGCGGUGAAAUGCGUAGAUAUUGGGAGGAACACCAGUGGCGAAGGCGGCUACCUGGACCGGUACUGA
rnacentral:rRNA from 1 species